GACGAACGCUGGCGGCGUGCUUAACACAUGCGAGUCGAACGGAAAGGCCCUGCUUUUGUGGUGUGCUCGAGUGGCGAACGGGUGAGUAACACGUGAGUAACCUGCCCUUGACUUUGGGAUAACUUCAGGAAACUGGGGCUAAUACCGUAUAGGAGCUCCUGCUGCAUGGUGGGGGGUGGAAAGUUUCGGCGGUUGGGGAUGGACUCGCGGCUUAUCAGCUUGUUGGUGGGGUAGUGGCUUACCAAGGCUUUGACGGGUAGCCGGCCUGAGAGGGUGACCGGCCACAUUGGGACUGAGAUACGGCCCAGACUCCUACGGGAGGCAGCAGUGGGGAAUAUUGCACAAUGGGCGGAAGCCUGAUGCAGCAACGCCGCGUGCGGGAUGACGGCCUUCGGGUUGUAAAACGCUUUCGCCUGUGACGAAGCGUGAGUGACGGUAAUGGGUAAAGAAGCACCGGCUAACUACGUG
rnacentral:rRNA from 1 species